GAGUUUCUAAAACAUCUCGCUUAUUUGUGGUUAGUGAAGUGUGAAAACUUGAGGAGUCUUCCAAGCAGCAUUUGUAGAUUGAAAUACCUUGAACAACUUGAUCUCUCUGAUUGUUCAAACUUUGAGACUUUUCCGGAAAUCAUGGAGGAUAUGGAAUGCUUAAAGUGGCUUGAUUUAAGUGGAACGUGUAUAAAAGAGCUUCCAUCAUCAAUUGAGUUUCUAAAACAUCUCGCUGAUUUGCAGUUAGUGAAGUGUGAAAACUUGAGGAGUCUUCCGAGCAGCAUUUAUAGGUUGAAAUACCUUGAAAAACUUAAUCUCUCUGGUUGUUCAAACUUGGAGACUUUUCCGGAAAUCAUGGAGGAUAUGGAAUGCUUAAAGUGGCUUGAUUUAAGUGGAACGUGUAUAAAAGAGCUUCCAUCAUCAAUUGAGUUUCUAAAACAUCUCGCUUCUUUGCGGUAGUGAAGUGUGAAAACUUGAGGAGUCUUCCGAGCAGCAUUUGUAGGUUGAAAUACCUUGAAGAACUUAAUCUCUCUGGUUGUUCAAACUUGGAGACUUUUCCGGAAAUCAUGGAGGUUAUGGAAUGCUUGAAGUCCCUUAAUUUAAGUGGAACGUGUAUAAAAGAGCUUCCGUCAUCAAUUGGAUAUUUAAAUCAUCUUAUUUAUUUGCAUUUGAGCCACUGCAAAAACUUGAGGAGUCUUCCAGGUAGCAUUUGUUGGUUGAAAUUGCUUAGAAAACUCAAUCUCAAUGACUGUCCAAACCUAGUCACAGGGGACAUGGAAAAUUUAAUAAAUCUUGGUUUAUUAGAAACUCAGAAUAUGAUGGAUGGAGUAGCCCCAAGUGAUUUAUGGUGCCUAUCCUUGCUGGAAGAUUUAGAUCUAAGUCAAAACAGUAUGUGUCACAUAC
rnacentral:lncRNA from 1 species